rnacentral:rRNA from 1 species
CUGGCGGCGCGGAUUAGGCAUGCAAGUCGAACGAGAAAGAUUCCUUCGGGGAUCGAGUAAAGCGGCGAAAGGGUGAGUAGUACCUAGGUAACCUACCCUGAAGCUCGGGAUAACGGUCGGAAACGAUCGCUAAUACCGGAUGUGGCAAGAGAGUCGCAUGAUUUUUUUGCUAAAGGUAGCCUCUGUUUCAAGCUUCCGCUUCAGGAGGGACCUCGGCCCUAUCAGCUUGUUGGUGAGGUAACGGCUCACCAAGGCUCGGACGGGUAGCCGGUCUGAGAGGAUGGUCGGCCACACUGGGACUGAGACACUGCCCAGACUCCUACGGGAGGCUGCAGUCGAGGAUCUUCCGUAAUGGACGAAAGUCUGACGGAGCGACGCCGCGUGUGGGAGGAAGGCCCUCGGGUUGUAAACCACUGUCACCUGUUAUGAAUCGUAGAGUUUGAACAGGGCUCUGCGUGACAAAUGCAGGAGAGGAAGCCACGGCUAACUUCGUGCCAGCAGCCGCGGUAAUACGAAGGUGGCGAGCGUUGUUCGGAAUCACUGGGCAUAAAGCGCACGUAGGCGGCUUUGUAAGUCGGAUGUGAAAGCCCUCAGCUUAACUGAGGAAUUGCGUUCGAUACUGCGGAGCUUGAGUACUGGAGGGGAGAACGGAAUUCCCGGUGGAGCGGUCAAAUGCGUAGAGAUCGGGAGGAACGCCGGCGGCGAGAGCGGUUCUCUGGACAGUUACUGACGCUGAGGUGCGAAAGCUAGGGGAGCAAACGGGAUUAGAUACCCCGGUAGUCCUAGCCGUAAACGAUGGGCGCUAGGUAGUGGAGGUUCCUAUUCCGCCACUGCUGGAGCUAAUGUAUUAAGCGCCCCGCCUGGGGAGUACGGCCGCAAGGCUAAAACUCAAAGGAAUUGACGGGGGCUCACACAAGCGGUGGAGCAUGUUGCUUAAUUCGAAUCAACGCGAAGAACCUUACCCGGGUUUGAAAUGCUGGUGGUAGUGUAGGGAAACCGUACACGACUCCCUCACGGGAGAGCCAGCACAGGUGUUGCAUGGCUGUCGUCAGCUCGUGUCGUGAGAUGUUGGGUUAAGUCCCGUAACGAGCGCAACCCUUGUCGCUAGUUGCUACAGGUCAAGCUGAGCACUCUAACGAGACUGCCGGUGUUAAACCGGAGAAAGGUGGGGACGACGUCAAGUCAUCAUGGCCCCUAUGCCCGGGGCUGCAAACGUGCUACAAUGGCAAGUACAGUGGGUAGCGAAGUCGCGAGGCGGAGCCAAUCCCAAAAAGCUUGUCCCAGUCCGGAUUGGAGGCUGCAAUUCGCCUCCAUGAAGUUGGAAUCGCUAGUAAUCGGGGAUCAGCAUGCCCCGGUGAAUACGUUCCUGAGCCUUGUACACACCGCCCGUCAAGCCAUGGGAGCCGGGAGUGCCCGAAGUCGUGAUCCUAACCGUCAAGGAAGGUAACGCCGAAGGCAAGCUCGGUGACUGGGACUAAGUCGAAACAAGGUA